UACGUAGGGGGCAAGCGUUGUCCGGAAUUAUUGGGCGUAAAGGGCGUGUAGGCGGUUAAUUAAGUCAGGUGUGAAAGACCGGGGCUCAACCCCGGGAUUGCACCUGAAACUGAUUAGCUUGAGGGCAAGAGAGGAAAGCGGAAUUCCUAGUGUAGCGGUGAAAUGCGUAGAUAUUAGGAGGAACACCAGUGGCGAAGGCGGCUUUCUGGCUUGACCCUGACGCUGAGGCGCGAAAGCGUGGGGAGCAAACAGG
rnacentral:rRNA from 1 species